rnacentral:rRNA from 1 species
GACGAACGCUGGCGGCGUGCUUAACACAUGCAAGUCGAACGAAGUGGCGAACGGGUGAGUAACGCGUAAUCAACCUGCCCUUCAGCGGGGGACAACAGUUGGACACGACUGCUAAUACGCCAUACUGUGGGUGGAGCUUGCGUCUGAUUAGCUAGUUGGAGGGGUAACGGCCCACCAAGGCGAGGAUCAGUAGCCGGUCUGAGAGGAUGAACGGCCACAUUGGGACUGAGACACGGCCCAGACUCCUACGGGAGGCAGCAGUGGGGAAUCUUCCGCAAUGGACGAAAGUCUGACGGAGCAACGCCGCGUGAGUGAUGACGGCCUUCGGGUUGUAAAGCUCUGUUAAUCGGGACGCGGUACCGGAAUAGAAAGCCACGGCUAACUACGUGCCAGCAGCCGCGGUAAUAC